GGAGAAGUACCCAAGUGGCCGAAGGGGCUCCCCUGCUAAGGGAGUAGGAUCCGUUGAGGGUCGCCCGGGUUCAAAUCCCGGCUUCUCCG
rnacentral:tRNA from 1 species